CUCGUCUGCUACCUUCAUCGUCUUCCUCCCCUAUUUUUCUCUUUGCAAGCACCACUCCACCUAAACCAAAGGAUCAGUACCACUACGAUAGACUACCCGGAUAAGAAUAAUCUUAGAAGCUGAAGGUGUCGAUGUUGCUGAAGAGCCUUGGAGAGUCAGUUACCAGAGUUGUGAGUCAUCAAAGCUAGAAGCAGGAGGUGGAUCCCUAGAAGCAUGUGGUGGAGACCUAGAACCAGGAGGUGGCAGUCCUUAUCGAAACAUAGAGGAAGCCGAUAGUGUUGGCAUCCAAAGCUACUUUCUGUUGUGCUUAUCUAGAAUUAAAAUCUGACCUCUUUGCCAUACACUAUAAAUAUCCAGGUACUGAACAUGAAGUUUAAUUUUCCCUUUUGAAGAGCUUGUGAUUAAUAUGAAGGAAGUGUGAGACUUGUUUUGUUUAGUUUCCUAGAAUAAGAGCAAAGGCUGCCAAUUUGUAGUUUGCCUUUGAAGUAUAGGUUUGAAAUUUCUGUGGGAAUAAUGAACUAUCAAGAAAGUUUGUACUAUAAUUGUGUUUGUUGUAUUAUAAAGUUCUUCUUUUUUUUCCAUAAUCCAUGCUAUGUUCAUUGAUUCUGUUAUGUCUUUUAAUUGAUUCUAUGUUCUUUGAUUUGUUUCAUUAUGUUCCAGCUCUUAUAUUUAAAAUUCAUUGGCUAAAUUCAAGGUAGAACAAAGGUCUGCAAAUCUGAAUAUGUGUUUCUGGACUUUUGAUGCAGUUGCCUUUUUACUGAAAACUGUACAUUUUGGUUGGGUAUUUGAAGUUGGUGUCUUCAUGAAAGUUGCAGUAGACAUAUUAAAGAUCAUUUCAGAAUUGGAAUCUCUUGAAAACGAUUUUUCUAGAAUUAGUUAUGAUUUUUCAAAGUUACAGUUCUGUUGUGUUAGUAUUUCUGCUGGAAGGGCAACUUGGUUAUUUCUUUCAGUACUUCAAAUCUGAUUCAAAUGGACUACGAAUUUUCUUUAUUAUGUUUCUAUUCUUUAGUACAAGUCAUACCUUCAACUAAAAAAAAAGAAAAAAAAAAAUAUCCCUGAGUUGGGGUGUGACAAAGUGGUAUCAGAGCAUAGGGAUUAGAUUCCUAGAAUAGGUCAGAGCAUAAGAUCAGUAGUGUCUCCAAAUUUUGUGUAGCCUUCGUA